rnacentral:lncRNA from 14 species
UGCAAAACAGGCAAAGGCAUGGUAGUGAAAAUCAGGGAUAUAUUCCAGAAGAACUGUGGAAUGCAGAACAUAGCUCAGGAAUUGCCUCUCUUCCCCCAGUAUCUUCAAAGUUCACUGUCCCUACUGCAGAUUUACAUAUCAGUUCUUCACGAAAGGUGGGAUCUCAAAGACGUGCUGAUUAUCUGAUCAGCCCAAAGAAAAUUAGAAACAUGACACUUGUUUAGGAUGUACCUCUCCAGUUAACUUCUCCAUCACUUUUAUUUUGCACGUUUGGAUGGCUUCCUGCAACAAAGAAAG